AUAAAUGUCACCAAUGCACAGCCUCCUCCCUCCAACUCUUCCAUAGACUCUAAUGUUAAAAUGGCUCAGAAGGUUCGUUUGAAAAUCAGAAGAGCAUGGUGUCUUUCCACUGUCACCACGUCCAUAUAAUAAACUCCACAGACAUGAAAACUGAGAAUUAGGUAGACUAGACAUUGCUGUCGCUCACGGUGAAAGAAUUUUGUCAAUACGACUUUUACUUUUCAUUUGGGAGCGAUUUGUUUCGGCCUGACUUUUCUGUUCAUUUUAAGCAGCAAAAGUGAGGCGCAUGUCUGUGUACGUGUGUAUGGAGCCAUUGGGUGCGGUCACUAUAGCAACCAGGCUCACACCUGCCUGCUUAACGAGCUCUGCCUGCCACUGUACCAAGAUUCAUCUUAAGCACUUCUCUUUCAACUGCUGCUGUGUCCACAGUGUUACAGCCAUCAUUUUACCCUCAAAUUGUCGCCAUUAUUGUUCUCUUUCCAACACCGUAUCUUUCAAAGCUCAGGCAUUUAAACUUUUUAAACUGUGUGGAUCAAAGUGGAGGGAUCACAUUUGAGUCAUUCAGUGAUUCAAAGAAUAUGACCUUUUAAUAUUCAUUCAGAUGUUUUCUGACUCUAAAUGUUCUUUUCUCAUUUCUUAGGGUUUUCUAAUUUACAUUUAAAACAUUUUCAGUUUUUUUCCAACUCCUUCUUCUGUGUAACCUUCAGCUUUUAGCAGUUCAGCACCUUUGUUUUCAGGUUAAAUUCGUUUUUUUUUUUUGUUUUUUUUUUAUCUCAUUCAAUAUUUUUAACUCAAAAUUCAGCAAUUAAUUCAUUUCAGUGCAUACAUUCAGAUUCAAGCAUUCACACUGCAGUUUCUUCAGAAAAUGCACUUUCUAGUUAUUAUUAGUGUGAAUGCUUGAAAAGCAUUCACAGUAUUGUUCUUCUAAUCUUUAUUAUUAUAUUUUAUUCUGUAUUCCGUACGUUUUUUGAAAGCCUACUCCUUCAAAACCGUUCAACUUAGAAAAACCAUUCAAACAUCGUUAGAUUCCUAUUAUUUUGGACAACAUUGCUUCUAUUUUUCUCAUUUUUAACAUUUAUAUUUUUAAUUUUAUUCAACUUUAUUCAACAAAAAUUUCCCAUGUAUUUCAAUGGGGAGACCCUUCAAAUUCUCAUUCAACUUACUCAUUUUUAAACUCUUACUACUUCAACAUACGUUGACAUAGAGCCACCAUUCAAACUUUAAAACGAAGACAAGACAUUCAACUAUUCAACUUGUAUUUAUCUUUUCAAUAUCUAUUAUACUUUUUCUUCAGUUCCAGUUUAAGUUUCAUGAUGUUUUUUCACCCGUUUCAGAGUUUAUAAUGGGUGUGUAUGGGACGGAAUGUUGGGGCUAGAGUGAGGCAGCUCAACUGCUAGAGUGAGAGGAGCAAAAAAAUUAAUCUUAAAAUCUUUUUUAAAACUGCUGCUGUGUCCGCAGCGUUUGCUCUACAGGUAUGAUUUUACCCUCAAAACGUAGCCAUGGCUGUCCUCUUUCAUCCAAUGUGUUUACUAUUGUACUAGGUGUUAUGGUUCUUUCAUAAAUGUCACCAAUGCACAGCCUCCUCCCUCCAACUCUUCCAUAGACUCUAAUGUUAAAAUGGCUCAGAAGGUUGGUUUGAAAAUCAGAAGAGCAUGGUGUUUUUACACUGUCACCACGUCCAUAUAAUAAACUCCACAGGCAUGAAAACUGAGAAUUAGGUAGACUAGACAUUGCUGCCGCUCACGGUGAAAGAAUUUUGUCAAUACGACCUAUACUUUUCAUUUGGGAGCG
ensembl:lncRNA